rnacentral:rRNA from 1 species
UACAGAGGUCCCGAGCGUUGUUCGGAUUCACUGGGCGUAAAGGGUGCGUAGGUGGCAAGGUAAGUCGGAUGUGAAAUCUCCGAGCUCAACUCGGAAAUGGCAUUGGAAACUACCUUGCUAGAGGAUUGGAGGGGGGACUGGGAUUCUCGGUGUAGCAGUGAAAUGCGUAGAUAUCGAGAGGAACACCAGUGGCGAAGGCGAGUCCCUGGACAAUACCUGACACUGAGGCACGAAAGCUAGGGGAG